GAUGAACGCUGGCGGCGUGCUUAACACAUGCAAGUCGAGCGAGAAGUUUUGAAAAGAUUCUUCGGAUGAAAUUUAAAAUGGAAAGCGGCGGACGGGUGAGUAACGCGUAGGCAACCUGCCCCAUACAAAGGGAUAGCAUUUGGAAACGAAUAUUAAUACCUUAUGAAACUUAACUAGUGCAUGCUAGGUAGGUCAAAGCUGUAUCGGUAUGGGAUGGGCCUGCGUCUGAUUAGCUAGUUGGUGAGGUAACGGCGCACCGAGGCGACGAUCAGUAGCCGACCUGAGGAGGCGAACGGCCACAUUGGAACUGAGGCACGGGCCAAACUUCUACGGGAGGGAGCAGUGGGGAAUAUUGCACAAUGGGGGAAACCCUGAUGCAGCAACGGCGCGUGAACGAUGGAGGUCUUGGGGUCGUAAAGUUCUGUUUUAGGUGAUGAAAACUGACAGUAACCUAGGAGAAAGCCCCGGCUAACUCCGUG
rnacentral:rRNA from 1 species